GCUAACUCUUAAGUGAGAGGAAAAGCAAAGGUAAUAAAGAGUGCAUUAUUUGAUUUUCCAUUGCAGAAGUCAGUCUGUGCAAAAUUCUGCUUGCAAAGAGAUCAUCCUUCCUACUUAACUUGUAGGAGAUCAUUUAGAAGGUUUGCUGGACUUGGCCGCAUGGAUCCUUCAGCUCCCAAGUACUUUCAGAGCCCUGCAGCCCAGGAAUGAAUCCCACAAAAGGCCCCGCAUAGCCAAAAUAAUGUUGGAAAAGAAAACCAAAGUGGGAGGCAUCACAAUCCCGGACUUCAGCCUCUACUACAAAGCUAUAAUCAUCAAGACAGCAUGGUAGUGGCACAAAAACAGACACAUAGACCAAUGGAAUAGAAUAGAGAACCCAGAAUUGGACCCACAAGUGUAUGGCCAACUAAUCUUUGACAAAGCAGGAAAGAAUAUCCAACGGAAAAAAGACAGUCUCUUUAGCAAUUGGUGCAGGGAUAGCUGGCCAGUAACAUGCAGAAGAAUGAAACUGGACCACUCUCUUACACCAUACAC
rnacentral:lncRNA from 1 species